rnacentral:rRNA from 1 species
GAUCAUGGCUCAGGAUGAACGCUAGCUACAGGCUUAACACAUGCAAGUCGAGGGGCAGCAUGGUCUUAGCUUGCUAAGGCCGAUAGCGACCGGCGCACGGGUGAGUAACACGUAUCCAACCUGCCGUCUACUCUUGGACAGCCCUCUGAAAGGAAGAUUAAUACAAGAUGGCAUCAUGAGUUCGCAUGUUCACAUGAUUAAAGGUAUUCCGGUAGACGAUGGGG